rnacentral:rRNA from 1 species
UACAGAGGUGGCAAGCGUUGUUCGGAAUUACUGGGCGUAAAGGGCGCGUAGGCGGCCAUCUAAGUCAGACGUGAAAUCCCCCGGCUUAACCUGGGAACUGCGUCUGAUACUGGACGGCUUGAGUAUGGGAGAGGGAUGUAGAAUUCCAGGUGUAGCGGUGAAAUGCGUAGAUAUCUGGAGGAAUACCGGUGGCGAAGGCGGCAUCCUGGACCAUUACUGACACUGAUCCGCGAAAGCUAGGGGAGCAAACGGG